GAUGAAGAACGCAGCGAAAUGCGAUAAGUAAUGUGAAUUGCAGAAUUCAGUGAAUCAUCGAAUCUUUGAACGCACAUUGCGCCCGCCAGUAUUCUGGCGGGCAUGCCUGUUCGAGCGUCAUUUCAACCAUCAAGCCCCGGGCUUGUGUUGGGGACCUGCGGCUGCCGCAGGCCCUGAAAAGCAGUGGCGGGCUCGCUGUCACACCGAGCGUAGUAGCAUACAUCUCGCUCUGGGCGUGCUGCGGGUUCCGGCCGUUAAACCACCUUUUAACCCAAGGUUGACCUCGGAUCAGGUAGGAAGACCCGCUGAACUUAAGCAUAUCAAUAGCGGAGGA
rnacentral:misc_RNA from 1 species